rnacentral:rRNA from 1 species
CCUACGGGAGGCAGCAGUGGGGAAUAUUGGACAAUGGGCGCAAGCCUGAUCCAGCAAUGCCGCGUGGGUGAAGACGGCCUGCGGGUUGUAAAGCCCUUUAGGCGGGGAGGAACGUCGUUGUGUGAACAAUGCAGCGAUCUGACGUUACCCGCGGAAUAAGCACCGGCUAACUCCGUGCCAGCAGCCGCGGUAAUACGGAGGGUGCGAGCGUUAAUCGGAAUUACUGGGCGUAAAGCGUGCGUAGGCGGUUUGGUCAGUCAGCCGUGAAAGCCCCGGGCUUAACCUGGGAACGGCGGUUGAGACGGCCAGACUAGAGUGGGCUAGAGGAUCGUGGAAUUCCGGGUGUAGCGGUGAAAUGCGUAGAGAUCCGGAGGAACACCGAUGGCGAAGGCAGCGAUCUGGGGCCACACUGACGCUGAGGCACGAAAGCGUGGGGAGCAAACAGGAUUAGAUACCCUGGUAGUCCACGCGGUAAACGAUGAGCACUAGACGCUGGUGGGGUGACCUGCCGGUGUCGUAGCUAACGCGCUAAGUGCUCCGCCUGGGGAGUACGGCCGCAAGGUUGAAACUCAAAUGAAUUGACGG